AUACUACCUGGUAGAAGGAUACCAUGAUAACAAAGGUGGUUUAUUCAUUGCACUCUGGAUGUGCUGACCCCUGUGAUUUCCCCAAAUGUGGGAAACUCGACUGCAUAAUUUGUGGUAGUGGGGGACAAAAAAAAUGGAGGUGGAAGCACUCACCCCCU